UUUUCCAUUUGGUUCGUGUAAGUAGAGGGAAAAGUCGUGCGGCUAGUCGACUAGUGCGCACCAUGGCGGGGGAUAGCCGAAACUUGCUGCAGACUUUGCUUGAUCCAACCAAUAGACACCGUAAGGCCAUGUGCUGUAACCUGUCAGGCUGUCAGCAGCAAAAGUGAAACCUGUUUGAUUUCUUAAGUGUUUAAAAUGACAAAAGCUUUUUGUUUGAUAUGUUCAACUUAUCGAAAAAAAGAGAUCGCCGAAGUUUUUUCAAAGUGCCAGAAUGCAACAUUAACAGUAAUUCAAUUGAGAAAGAACUCAUUGAAAGAAGAAGAGCCGAGUGGUUGAAGUUGUCAAAAAGGAAUUAUAAUAUAUCCCAACUAUUUGUUUGCUCUGAUCAUUUUGUUUCAGGGAAACCUGCAUAUGUGUAUAAAACUGAAGACAUAGACUGGGUUCCUACUAAGAAUCGGUGUCUAUUGGUUGGAUCAAGCAAAGUCUGCAGCAAGUUUCGGCUAUCCCCCGCCAUGGUGCGCACUAGUCGACUAGCCGCACGACUUUUCCCUCUACGUACACGAACCAAAUGGAAAAACCUCUAUAGAGAAGUCGACUAUAUUAAAAGACAAGUUGUCGAUUGUCUCACUAGAUGACCUUUGAAGCGCACGUUGAAUGGCAGUUAAUGUCUAGAUCGGACACAGAUCCGAACUUCCCCGCUAGGCGUUCCGAUCGUUUGACUGUUUGAGAUCGGAGUGUUGUUGGUUUACUGCGUAGGGGAGGGUGGGGUGAGCGGAAAGGCGAGUUGACUGGGAUGGAGGGAUUAAAAAUACUAAAAAACAUUUGAAAAAUCUCAAUUUAAUUUGUGUUGUUUAUAGCAACCGUUUAUACAGUGGCGGCUGAAAGUUUCAUAACGUAGCUAAAAACCAGUCUUUUUACUGUGUAUUGGCGGAUAGUAUGUGCCAAUGGCAGAGGUUUAGACACCUUGUUUGAUCAAUUUAUUCUGUUUCUUACACCUUACCCCUCCGCCCAUAUUUACAAGGGAAAUGAUGAAUUUUAAUUUCCAUGUCCAAACAAGUCAGAAAGUUGCUUAAUACUGAGCGUUUAUUGUUAAAACGUUAAGAAUAAUAAGUUUGUCAACCGUAUGCCACAUCGCGAUAAAAUAGUAAUUGAUGUUAAGAAGAAAAGUUAAGUAAAUAUGGGUUGAAGGGUAGGGGAAAAAAAAA